GCCCUCGUAGCUCAGGGGAUAGAGCACUGGAUUCCUAAUCCAGGUGUCGCUGGUUCGAUUCCAGCCGAGGGCG
rnacentral:tRNA from 1 species